rnacentral:rRNA from 1 species
AUUGAACACGGGCGGCAGGCCUAACACAUGCAAGUCGAACGAGUGGCGGACGGGUGAGUAAUGUCUGGGAAACUGCCUGAUGGAGGGGGAUAACUACUGGAAACGGUAGCUAAUACCGCAUACCGUCAGGUGUGCCCAGAUGGGAUUAGCUUGUUGGUGGGGUAACGGCUCACAAAGGCGACGAUACCUAGCUGGUCUGAGAGGAUGACCAGGCACACUGGACUGGAGGCACGGGCCGGACUCAUACGGGAGGCAGCAGUGGCGAAUAUGGCACGAUGGGCGCAAGCCGGAGGCAGCCGCGCGGGGUGUAUGAAGGUGGGCUCCGGGGUGUAAAGUCCUUUCGGCGGGGAGGCGGUACCCGCCGAUGAAGCACCGGCUAACUCCGAGCCAGCAGCCGCGGUAAUUC